AGUAAGAUACUGUAAAAUGUAUAUACAGUAUUUUACUGUAAACUGCAAAGGAUUAUGGGAAAAUGUAUGGUCACUACAGUAAACUACUGUAAAUUUACAGUAGUGAACUUGCCCGCGAAAAACUGACCAAUGGCAAGGGAGAUUUAUUUUGUUUGCUGUUUGGUGGAAGCAGCGGUAAAAGGACAAAAGAGACACUUUGCACUGUUAACUAGACAAAAAGCAAACUAACAUCCAUCGUGUCGUUUUUCAUGUCGGAGUUGAGGCCUUUUUUUCUGACUGACGGCCGGAUUAACGCCGCCAUAACGGUGAUAACAUCGACUGUCUAGAUUCGACAACGUCGGAGGUGUAUUUUGGCGCCUCUUCUUGUGACUGGCAUAGUUUCGAUGAUAACAUCAACUGUUUGUGGUCUUGUGGUCAUGUCGUCUGCAUCGGAGGAGUAUUGGAGUCUUUUCCUGUGAUUGACGUCGUAACAGCAGGAGAUUUCUCCAAGCAAAAACAGGAUCCUGAAUAUGAGGCAGAAUCAUCGUACAGCCAGCUGUCCGUUUUACAGAAAUGCAGAAUUAGGUUCAUUCAGAUCUUUGUGGCACCAAAUGCAUUGAAAGUCACAGGUCAGCUGGCAUUCUGGAAAGAGGGUGCAAAGAAAAAGGAUCUGCCUGAAUCCCAUCCUGCUGUUUCUCAUCGGAGAGCUUGUCAACUUUGACUGUCAAAAUUACUGAAAUUUAACACAACACAAACUCAUUUUUACUGUUACUAUUAUUUGAUUUUUAUUAACACUACCAGUCAAAAGUUUUUGAACGGUAAGAUUUUUAAUGUUUUUAAAGAAGCCUCUUCUGCUCACCAAGCCUGCAUUUAUUUGAUCCAAAGUACAGCAAAAACAGUACAAUUUUGAAAUAUUUUUACUAUUUAAAAUAAAUGUUUUCUAUUUGAAUAUAUUUUAAAAUGUAAUU